rnacentral:rRNA from 1 species
AUUGAACGCUGGCGGCAGGCCUAACACAUGCAAGUCGAGCGAGCGGCGGACGGGUGAGUAAUGUCUGGGAACCUGCCUGAUGGAGGGGGAUAACUACUGGAAACGGUAGCUAAUACCGCAUACCAUCAGAUGUGCCCAGAUGGGAUUAGCGAGUAGGUGGGGUAACGGCUCACCUAGGCGACGAUACCUAGCUGGUCUGAGAGGAUGACCAGCCACACUGGACCUGAGACACGGUCCAGACUCCUACGGGAGGCAGCAGUGGGGAAUAUUGCACAAUGGGCGCAAGCCUGAUGCAGCCAUGCCGGGUGUGGGAAGAAGGCCUUCGGGUGGUAAAGCCCUUUCAGCGGGGAGGCGUUACCCACAGAAGAAGCACCGGCUAACUCCGUGCCAGCAGCCGCGGUAAUUC